rnacentral:lncRNA from 1 species
UAGUAGAUAGGGGUGUUAGUCCUAUGUGAUUUAUGAGACCGAGUUUAGAAGACCUUGGCCAGGGCAGAGUUAAUAGCAGAAAAGGAUUUCCGAUAUUAGAAACUCGAGUCGAAUAAAUUUGACAUAUGACAGACGAUGGGGUUUAACGAGUUAUUUCAUAACCUCCGUCUAGUCGAGACUCAUGAUAGAAAGAUUGUAUCACACGGUAACUGCACCAAGAGGUUCAGUAUUUCAUUCUACUGGAAUGCCACUACAUGCUGCUAGGCGUCACUGGUGGAUUGUGAGACUCAUGAGAAUUAUCUAGAUGAUCGAUAAUUCUCAUUAGGCUGAGUUGGAAUUGUUCCAAUCCACUGAAAGGAGUUUCAAUGAUAUUGUUGAUAGUGAUCAAAAUAUAUCUCACUACCAGAUAAAAUAGAACCUAUGGGGUCACACACAUAAGAGGUUGUGAUUGAUCGGAUAGCUAGAUCGCGAUUAUUGAAUCAUCGGAGGACCUAAUUGUCAAUAUGUUGAUAAUUGGACUAAUUUGUAAUUGUUACAAAUUAGUGGU